rnacentral:rRNA from 1 species
AUUGAGCGCUGGCGGCAUGCCUUACACAUGCAAGUCGAACGGUAACAGGUCUUCGGAUGCUGACGAGUGGCGAACGGGUGAGUAAUACAUCGGAACGUGCCUAGUAGUGGGGGAUAACUACUCGAAAGAGUGGCUAAUACCGCAUGAGAUCUACGGAUGAAAGCAGGGGAUCGCAAGACCUUGUGCUACUAGAGCGGCCGAUGCAGAUUAGGUAGUUGGUGGGAUAAAAGCUUACCAAGCCGACGAUCUGUAGCUGGUCUGAGAGGACGAUCAGCCACACUGGGACUGAGACACGGCCCAGACUCCUACGGGAGGCAGCAGUGGGGAAUUUUGGACAAUGGGCGAAAGCCUGAUCCAGCAAUGCCGCGUGCAGGAUGAAGGCCUUCGGGUUGUAAACUGCUUUUGUACGGAACGAAAAGCCCCGGGUUAAUACCCUGGGGUCAUGACGGUACCGUAAGAAUAAGCACCGGCUAACUACGUGCCAGCAGCCGCAGUAA